UACGGAGGGGGCGAGCGUUGCUCGGAAUCACUGGGCGUAAAGCGCACGUAGGCGGACUCUUAAGUCGGUGGUGAAAUCCUGGAGCUCAACUCCAGAACUGCCUUCGAUACUGGGAGUCUCGAGUCCGAGAGAGGUGAGUGGAACUGCGAGUGUAGAGGUGAAAUUCGUAGAUAUUCGCAAGAACACCAGUGGCGAAGGCGGCUCACUGGCUCGGUACUGACGCUGAGGUGCGAAAGCGUGGGGAGCAAACAGG
rnacentral:rRNA from 1 species